UCCUGCAAUUCCCAAAACUCCAAUCAUCCUCUCAUUGGAGCCUCUGGAAUCCUGCAAUUCCCAAAACUCCAAUGAUAAAACCUUUAAUUGGAGCUCCUGAAAUCCUGGGAUUCCCAAAAUUUCAAUCAUCCUUUCAUUUGAGCUUUUGGAAUUCCCAGAAUUCCAGUGGUGGAACCUUUAAUUGGAGCCUCUGGAAUUCUGGGAGCGUGCUGGGAACGCACGAGGCUCUUCCAGGCCGGAUGAUCCAAUGGGAAAAUCCAGUUUGAAAUCCCAGAACUUGGAGAAAUCGAUGGAUGCCGGAGCUGCUGCAUCCCAGAUUUCUUGAGGAAGGCGAAGGAGCUUUCCCAGGGUUGGAAUGCGGCAAAUUCCAGGAGCUUUGAGCCAUAAUUCCGCAAAUUCCCGUUCCAGGCGGAAGCGCCGCUCGUCCCCGCCCGACCCCGACCCUGCGGGCUCGGAAUGCACAGACGUGGAAACCAGGUGCUCCGUGGCCGUGGAGAUGAGGGCGGGAUCGGCGCUGGGCCCAGGAUUCCAGCACCACGCCCAGCCCAAGCGCAGGAAACCCUGAGCUUUUCCUGCUGGAAUCCCGGAUUUUCCCGGCCUGAGGAAUUCUCCGCUGCUGCUGCUCCUCAGGAAC